GGGCUCUCCCUUUCGGGACUGGGACACAGGUGCUGCAUGGCUGUCGUCAGCUCGUGGCGUGAGAUAUUGGGUUGAGUCCCGCAACGAGCGCAACCCACGCCAUUAGUUGCCAUCAUUAAGUUGGGCACUCUAAUGGGACCGCCGGUGGUAAGCCAGAGAAAGGUGUGGAUGACGUCAAGUCCUCAUGGCCCUUACAGGGUGGGCUACACACGUGCUACAAUGGCGACUACAGAGGGUUGCAAGCCUGCGAAGGUGAGCCAAUCCCAAAAAGUCGUCUCAGUUCGGAUUGCACUCUGCAACUCGAGUGCAUGAAGUCGGAAUCGCUAGUAAUCGCGGAUCAGCAUGCCGCGGUGAAUACGUUCCCGGGCCUUGUACACACCGCCCGUCACACCAUGGGAGUUGGUUUUACCCGAAGGCGAUGCGCUAACCGCAAGGAGGCAGUCGACCACGGUAGGGUCAGCGACUGGGGUGAAGUCGUAACAAGGUAGCCGUAGGGGAACCUGCGGCUGGAUUUCCUCCUUAAUCGGAUCCCGGGCCCGUCGACUGCC
rnacentral:rRNA from 1 species